rnacentral:rRNA from 1 species
UGGGGAAUAUUGGACAAUGGGCGCAAGCCUGAUCCAGCCAUGCCGCGUGAGUGAUGAAGGCCUUCGGGUUGUAAAGCUCUUUCACCCACGACGAUGAUGACGGUAGUGGGAGAAGAAGCCCCGGCUAACUUCGUGCCAGCAGCCGCGGUAAUACGAAGGGGGCAAGCGUUGUUCGGAAUGACUGGGCGUAAAGGGCGCGUAGGCGGUUCGUUGCGUCAGAUGUGAAAGCCCCGGGCUCAACCUGGGAACUGCAUUUGAUACGGGCGGGCUUGAAUCCAAGAGAGGGUGGUGGAAUUCCCAGUGUAGAGGUGAAAUUCGUAGAUAUUGGGAAGAACACCAGUGGCGAAGGCGGCCACCUGGCUUGGUAUUGACGCUGAGGCGCGAAAGCGUGGGGAGCAAACAGG